UCAGUAGACUCGGAGACUCAGCUACAGCUGUCCUUAGAGGCUAUCUAUAAAAGUGCAGGUGUUCAGCAUUAGCAAAUAGUUCUUAUUAUAUGGAUCGACUUUUGGCAGCUAGUAACGAUGUUUCCUCAGAUUGAAAAAUGAUUUUCUACCUUAAACAGUGGUUUCACAUUACUGGAAUGCCGAAUUACCAAAAAAAAAAGAAAGAAAAAAGAAAAGAAAAAGAAAAGAAAAGAAAAAGAGAGAAAGAAAGAAAAAGCCACACAAAAUUCCUCUCAUCAAAUAGUACUGAAACUGUUUUUGUUAGUUGUAUACAUUUCAUGAUUUGUAUAUUUUAUAGUAGAAUGUAAGCCUUUCUUUUUAACUGUUGUGGUUAGGUUUAGGUCCUUUGCCAAAUGAAGCAGACUGUGAAGAAUUAGGAAGGGUAAUGCAUCCUGGGUUUCUGUUCGUGGUAAAGGGGACCAGGAUCUGGCUAGAUGCCAAGGAAGGACUUAGGCUGGAGAUGUUUUCAAGACCUUAAAAAUACCAGGAUGUUUUUGUGUCCCUCUAUCAGAGACUUGUUUUUUGCAUCAUCAGAUAUGAGCAGAUAGCCUUUUAUUCCCAUUUACAGGGACUUUGAAUGCUCUUUAUGAUGUCACUGUUACCCUUCCUAUACCUACCCUGAAGCUCAUGGCUGUGCAGAAUGUGAGGACCCUGCUGAGAAAUCCUGUCUACAUUGUUUCCUAUAUGCAUACCUAUUGCUUAAACCGGAGGAUGAGCUGUGUGGCUUGCUACCCGUUAGCUUCUAGGUCAAAGAUACAAGACUAAAAGCCUAAAGUAUGUCCAGAAACAUUGUCCUUUUGAAAUAUUGUAGGAAAAAAAAAAACAUAUGAAGAUUGUUUGCAGAGGGUCAACUAAGCCUUGCAUCUAACAUCUGAGCUCUUCGCUGCCUGCUUGAGGGUUUGCGGAGGCAACAGAGAAACCUGUUGGGCUAAAUAAAGAAAUGACAAGAGAGUGCUAUUAGGUGAACGGCAUUGGGGAACUAUCAUCAAAUUGAUCUUAAGAAAGGCUGGUUCUGUGAAAUAAGUCAUUUUCCUUCCUCUGGCGACACAUCACUGACUUUUUGGAAUCUCUACAAGGCAGGUAAGCCUUGAUACAGAAGAAAACCAAACACACCGACGUCAGUUAUCUGAACUAAGCUCCACUUUAGCAGCCUGGAGUUACGGCCCGUGGCAGGAGAAUUCAGCAAGGUUCCACGUGCAAAGGUUUCCGCCUUCAUCAUCUUACCUUCUCUCUCCAGGCCUUGGCGGUGGAGUGCACGUCAGGUUUUUCUUCAGCAUGCGAGAGGCUCAGUUUCAAAGGCUUGGGUUUUCACAUCCAUGUCACUAUCACAGAUUGAAAUGUGACACGGGUACCUGGCUGCAUACUUUUCUUUAAACCUGAGCCAGUAAUACUGCAAAAUGUUAGGGGAGGCACUCUUUCAUCUCACACUUUAAAGCGGAAGCCUCUGUCAAGGUGAGGAUUACUCGAUGGUUCCAGAAGCCCCAUCACCACCAGUGACUCAGCUGCACAGUCUGGCUUAGGCGUUUUCCUUAAUGACUAAGAAUCAGAACUUCUCUGGUUAGUGUUUUCCCAGCACCAUAGGACUGUUUUGGAGGUUUGGGAACCAAAGCUAGAAGUCCUCGGCUUGCUUUGAGUUGCCUUUGGGUGCUUGCUGGGGAAGGGAGGGUGCCCUCAUGGGUCCCGCCCGGGCUUCCCGCACCUCCUACCUUCUGCUCCUUUCAGGCAAAACAGCCUGGCCUUCCGUGUUUUAUGUCUGAAGGAUGACUUGGGCAACUAAAAACCAAACCAAAGGAAACACAAAUUGAAGGCCACUGGAACAAAGGAUCUUCAGGCCUUCCAGCUCAUUGAGAAAUUAGAAUUUUUUUCUGGUAAAUAUCAAAACGUACAAUCUGAUGGUAAAUGCUGGGACAAUGCAAGGAGAAUGAUUUCCUUCCUUCUCCAGGAUCCCUAUCGAGGCCCAUAAAAUGGGAACAUCUGUCCUUCUGGAGAUACUGAGAAGAGAGGAGACUUGCAGCCUUUCUCCAGCCCCCUCCCGAAGGACCAGGGGACUUCUUUGAUUGCCUCAUAUGGGGAAAGGAACUGACUUGGUGGGGCUCAGCCCCCCAGUUGGCCGGCCAGCAGGGCAGGCUCUUCCCUCCUCGUGGGAGCCCGACAGGGCAGGCUGUCCCUCUGCCCCCCGAAAGCCUGCAGGUUGGGGGGGUGUGGGGAAGCAGGGGGCCCCCCGGGACCUCAGCAACUAGCCUCAUUGUCUGAGCCAGCUUUACUAGCAAUAAAGCUGAUAGAUUGA